GGCUCUGGUGGCCUAUAAGUUAGAGCGUCCGCCUCGGAUGCGGGAUGUCGUGGGUUCGAUCGCCAGCCAAGUCA